UACGUGGGGUGCAAGCGUUGUUCGGAAUUACUGGGCGUAAAGCGUGUGUAGGUGGCCUGCUAAGUCUGGUGUGAAAGCCCUGAGCUCAACUCAGGAAUUGCAUCGGAAACUAGCGGGCUGGAGUCCGGGAGAGGGUAGUGGAAUUCCUGGUGUAGAGGUGAAAUUCGUAGAUAUCAGGAGGAACACCGAUAGCGAAAGGGCAGCUCGCUGGGACGGUACUGACGCUGAGGCGCGAAAGCGUGGGAGCGAACAGG
rnacentral:rRNA from 1 species